rnacentral:lncRNA from 1 species
ACGUGGUCUAAUGUUGAUAAUAAUAGAUUAUCAAAUGAGAGAUGCUGAGAGAUGCUGGUCUAGUAUUGCAAGCCCCCAGAUUUAAGAAUCUUUUGAUGAUAAUUUACCACCUGUAACUGUGCCGGAAGAUUCACCUAGCAUUGAAAAAGAUGAUAAUUUAAUUGAUAUGGAUAGUUUUCAUAACACUUUUAAAUCAUCUUAUGUAAUUAUAAUGUUGAGAAGCAUUAGUGGUCUAUAUGUGAACUAUUAUUGACGCUAUUUUGUUGUAAACAAUCUUAUUCAAUUAAUGUAUAAUUUAAAAUCAUUAUGUAAAUCAAUCUAUUACUUUUCAUGAUAUUUAACUGAGUUAAAACUAAGUGCACCCAAUAAAUCUCUUUUCCUUUAAAAAACUGUUACGCUUUGAUUUUAGUGCUUAAUAUUUACGGAACUCCGGUACAGGGAAUUCGAAAUCAAACUCGUAACUACAGAUUAUCUAAUUGCAAGCUUUUGUCCAUAGUUGCUGAUUGUAGUGAUUAUCUAAUUGACUGAGGUGACAACAAUUUUUUUUUUUAAUUUUCAAUAGCAUAAUGUGGAAUUCAAUAAUUAAAUUCUCCUUUUUAAUUUGUUUCCAGUUAAAUUAUUAAUUACUUAAACUCUGUUUUAAGUCUUUAAUUUUAUGUCUUGGCGUAUAUGCAGGGUUGGAUUCUUGAGCGUGUUGGACACGACCAACAAUGAAAUUGACAGUAAACAAACAUUAUAACGCGUUGAGUGUCGACUCCGCUAGCUGCCCUACAAGUCUACAACUUUACAAACAAUAACUGAGUACACACAUUUGAUUCUCAGGGCCUUUCAAUGAAUUUCUAGGCCGGUUGACUCCACCGACAAAAGUUUUGGAAAAUAAAAAAGAAAAUUCAUAGAAUUCCACCAAAUGCAAAACGCGUGGAAUUUAAUUUUCGGCUGUGUGGACCAAAACAUAAUUUAAUGAAAAAAAAGAUAAGAUUUCUAGAAUGUGUGGAAGGUGAUCCAUAUUUUACUGAAACAACUUAUUAAAUUUUUCAAGGAUUUAGAAUAUUUGGUCAUAAAUUACGCUCAUGUUAAUUUUUCCACUGUUGACUAUCAUAUUCUAGACUCACUGGUACCUUUCUUGAUGAAGGGUACUUAGUCUCUCUUCUCCUCUUAUAAAAAUUAUAUUAAUUAAUUUCUUAUUAUAAUAAAUAGUCUUUAAGAACGUAUAGAUUUAUUGUUUUCGUGACCAAAUUAUGCCAGCUUAAGGUUGCGACUAUUAAUAAAAUUAAUAUUUAAUGUUUAUGUUAAAAGAUAUAAGAUUUUUUGCAUUCAUUAAUUGUCAUUAGCUAAAGGAUUAAUUAUUUUUUCAACCCAAUCAGUUGAUGCAUCUGCAAGAAUUUUUUCUUUUAUUGACCAUAAUUAUAUUCCGGGUACAAUAAAUUAUCUUUGGUGCUUGGAAAAUAUGACUUCUUACUUCAAGUUUGAUGUGUCUCUCUCCAUAAGCUUACUGGAAAUAUAUCCUCAUCUACUGUCAUUUAUCUAAUAUCAAUUGAAUAUCUGACUUUUUCAAACUAUCACUUCCAAGUCUCAUUGUCACUUGGCCAUUCUUGGACCAUUCAAAACCAAACAAGUGUUGAAAUAAUCAAAUAUAUGCAAAAUUAGAGUCACGACUUUUGGUCCUCCAAAUUCUAAUUAUAUUACUUCUAUAUAUCUCAUUGUCAGGUCACGAACUUGUUGGCACAUUUUCCAAAUUCCUCUUCCAUCAGCUCUUACACGUUAACUUAAGUGGAAAGUUUCCAAGUUGAUUGCUAGAAAGCAACGCAAAAUCAGACACGCUUGAUCUGUCCCCUAAUUCUCUUUUCUACGUUGAAAAAGAAAAAAAAUAAGAAAAAAGAAAAUAGAUCUAUGUAAAAAUAAAUAAUAAACUGAGUAAAAGUACAUUUGUUUAUUUAACAUCUGAUCGGGGCAUUUUUGGUGUAAUUUCGUGCUGUGUUUAACCCACAACUAAAAUCAAACAGCCCCUUAGAAUACUUCUUCCAUUUUGGGUGCGUUUGGGAUUGAGGUUGGGCAGCUGUAACUUAAAAACUACAGCACUAAAGUGUUUGAUAAACACUAACUGCUGUAGCUUUUAAGCUAUGUUGAUAUGGUUUUUCACUUGUAUAAUACAAAAUUUAUUAUAUCUUUAAUAAUUUUAUCAAAAUUAUUAUUUAAAAUUUAUAUUUACUAUAUAUUAUUAACUUUUGUUUCAUAAUUACAGCUUUUUUUUCACAGCAACUGUAGCUUAAAAGCUACAGCAUCUCAAUCCCAAACGCACCCUUUAUCUGCUACUUUUGUGGAUCUUAUAGGGUGGGCAUGUGAACAGAAUUUAAAAAUUUUAAUAGUCUCAAAGAAUAAGAUAUGCUAAAGCUAAAGUUGUUGCACCUUCUAAUUAAAUAAAGUUGUAUAAUUUCACCAACUUGGAAGAAUUGAUAUUAAUGGACGGUCCCCUCUCCAUAUAUGAAGCCUUCUUAAAAGUUAAUUUUUAUUUCAGAAAAAAAAAGUUUAAGUUACAUAUAUUAUAGUAAGAUUUUUUUAGACCAAUUCCCUUCUUGAAAUAAUAAUGGAAAAGCAUUAAUUUAAAAAUAAAAUGAAUAUGUAUUGAUUAUAUCCUGAUUUUCAUCGAUUAUAGUGAGAGUUUCUCCAAAUCAAUUCCCUUAUUCAAAUAAUACAGAAAAAAUAGUAAUUUAAUAGUAAAAUAAACAAGUGUUGAUUAUAUAUUCUAAGUUUCAUCGAUUAUGUGAUCAAAGUGGCAUUGUUGAUUUAUUUCUUGUUCAAUGUUAAUUUUUAGGUUAUAUAAAUUUCAAGGAUCUAAAAUCUUUGGUCAUGGAUUACACGCUUGUUAAUUUUUCUGCCAUUAACUGUCAUAUUCUAGACUUAAUGAUACCUUUCUUGAUCAAGCGUAAUUAUUCUCUCUUCUCCUCUUAUAAAUUCCUCUUCCAUUAACAUCACUAGGAGUAUGUUGAUCUCUCAGACGUUAACUUGAGUGGAGAGUUUCCAAAUUGAUUGUUACAAAACAACACAAAAACUAGACACACUUGAUCUGUCUAAUAAUUCUCUUUCGGUAAAAUUAAUUAAUUUUAGGGAAAUAUUCUGCCAACCUCUGUAAUUUCAAAGUGAUCAUUAAUUAAUUAAACGAUACAAAUAUCUAAAGUGAUUAGAUGUUUGCCGACAAUACAAGUUCAUGACUUGAAAUUUGAUCUCUAUCGAUUGGUUUACAAAUGGACGUACUUGUGCCUUUGUGGCGAUAAUCAAACAAGUUCCCAUGAUUAUUAUUUUUUCCAAAAACGUUUUUACAACAAAUUCAUCUCGCCAAAAAUUCUAUGUUGCUAACUAACAAUAAUUGAGCACUUGGCCGCAUUGACCCCACGUCUCCACCUCUUUCUAAAAACAUGGAAAAUGUAAUUUCCACAAAAUGCCAAACGUGUGGAAUUUAAUUUUUUUGCCUUGUGGAUCAAAAUACAAAUGAAAGAAACAGGAGAAAAAAAAGGCCCAAAGACUUCUAAAAGAUGAAGAAGUCUUUGGGCCUUUUUAUAAUGGUGAAUUUUUUAAAAGAAAAAAAAUAACAACAUUUUUAUGGUUUGUUUUGAUAAUCAUAUUUACAUAUACUCUCUAAUUUUCAAAAUGGACACAUAAAUCUUUUUUUUUACAAAAUAUAUAUUAUUCAUAUUUUUUAUUUUUUAUUAUCAUAUUUUUAUUUAUUAUAAAUGUUUAGAGUAAAUUUUUAGGUUGAAAUAUAAUAAAAAUGUAUAAUCGUUCUCUUAUUAAACACACAUACUUUUAUUAGUUUCUAUGCAUUUGUCAUCUCAAUCUCUCUCAAUUAUUCUUUAUUGCUAGCUCAAAACGCGUUGCUGUUGCAAAUUAUAGCAAAAUGACAAAUAUGGAAAAAAAGGGAAGAAAAUUAAUGCAUGAAAGACUUGGAGAAAACAACAAAAUAAGCCAACUAUGAGCUAGUUGGGUGUAUAAAUUGUUAGAUGUGUUAUAUACAAAUAGCAUAGAGCCCUCUAGUUAGUUCCAGAGACAGAAAGAGCGUGUGUGUUUUUUCACAGUUAGAGAUAUAGUUAGAAUGGGUGGUUCAAAAUCAAAAAUGAUGAUAAUGUUUAUUAUGUUAUUAAUAAUAUUUAAAAGUGGGUGGAGUGAGGGAUGUUUGGAUCACGAGAGAUUUGCUCUUUUGCGACUCAAACAUUUCUUCGAUGAUAGUUAUCUUUAUGACUGGGCCGAUGAUGAGGGAGCUACUGAUUGUUGUCAGUGGGAAAAUGUUGAGUGCAGCAACACCACAGGCCGAGUGAUAGCGCUAGACCUUUUUGACACGCAUGGGGGAGAGCACAGCUGGUAUAUGAAUGCUUCUUUGUUUACUCCCUUCCAACAACUUGAGUCACUUGAUUUAACUGACAACAAUAUAGCCGGUUGUGUUGAGAAUGAAGGUGCUUCGUUUAAUUUAAUUAAUUUACUUUCUCCCCCCAAAUUUAAGUUGAAUAUCAAGACCGAGCAAUUAUAUGCAUAUUCAUUUAGUCGACAAUUUUGACUUUUUUUUAAAUGAUUAAUUUUGAAAUUACACCAGUAUCUAUGAUCUUUUUUUAUUUUAUUUUAUUUGCAGGUAUAGAGAGGCUAUCAAGAUUGAACAACUUGAAGAUGCUUAAUUUAAGUCGAAACUCAUUCAAUAAUAGCAUUUUAUCAUCUCUAACUCAUCUUUCAUCAUUAAGAUCAUUAAAUUUACUUUGGAAUAGAUUGGAAGGAAGUAUUGACGUUAAAGGUACAUAAUUAAAACUUCAAGCUCUUUCAUUAACUUGCUAAAAUAAGAUUCAAGGCUUUGAAAGAAAAAGAGAGAAAAAAACAAGGCCCAAAGACUUCUAAAAGAUGUAAAAGUCUUUGGGCUUUUUUAUAAUGGUGGAUUUUUUAAAAGGAAAAAAUAACAACGCUUCUAUGGUUUGUUUUGAUAAUCACAUUUACAUAUACUCUCUAAAUUUCAAAAUGGACACAUAAAUCUUUUUUUUUUCUACAAAUGUAUAUUGUAUUUUUUAUUAUUUUUAAUAUCAUAUUGUUAUUUAUUAUAAAUAUUUAAAGUAAAUUUUUAAGUUGAAAUAUAAUAAAAGAGUAUAAUCGUUCUCUUCUUAAACACUCAUACUUUUAGUUUCUAUCCAUUUGUCAUCUCAAUCUCUCUCAAUUAUUCAUUAUUGCUAGCUCAAAACGCGUUGCUGUGGAAAAUUAUAGCAAAAAGACAAAUAUGGAAAAGAAAAAAGGGAAGAAAAUUAAUGCAUGAAAGACUUGGAGAAAACAACGAAGUAAGUCAACUAUAAUCUAGCUGGGUGUAUAAAUUGUUUGAUGCUUUAUAAGCAAAUAACAUACAGAGACAGACAAUGUGUGUUCGUUUUUUCAUAGUUAAAGAUAUAGUUAGAAUGGGUGGUUCAAAAUCAAAAAUGGUGAUAAUGUUUGUUAUGUUAUUAAUAAUAUUUAAAAGUGGGUGGAGUGAGGGAUGUUUGGAUCACGAGAGAUUUGCUCUUUUACGACUCAAACAUUUCUUCAAUGAUCCUCUUAAUUCUCUUUACGACUGGGUAGAUGGUGAGGGAGCUACUGAUUGUUGUCAGUGGGAAAGGGUUGAGUGCAGCAACACCACAGGCCAAGUGAUAGCGUUGCACCUUUCUAAUAUAUAUUUGGGAGAGUACAGCUGGUAUCUGAAUGCUUCUUUGUUUACUCCCUUCCAACAACUUGAGUCACUUGAUUUAAGUUUCAACAAAAUAGCCGGUUGUGAUGAGAAUGAAGGUGCUUCGUUUAAUUUAAUUAAUUUACUUUCUCUCUCCUAAUUUAAGUGGUAUAUUAAAAUUGAGCAACUAUAUGCAUAUACAUUAGUUGACAAUUUUGACAUAUUUUUUGAAGUGAUUAAUUAAUUUUGAAAUUACACCAAAUAUCUAUGAUCAUUUUUUUUUAUUUUACUUGAAGGUAUAAAGAGGUUAUCAAGAUUGAACAACUUGAAGAUGCUUAAUUUAAGUGCUAACUCGUUCAACAAUAGCAUUUUAUCAUCUCUAACUCAUCUUUCAUCAAUAAGAUCAUUAAAUUUAUAUGUGAAUGAAUUGGAAGGAAGUAUUGAUGCUAAAGGUACAUAUUUAAAACUUCUCUCUUCCCCAAGCUCUUUCAUUAACUUGCUAAAAUAAGAUUCAAGGCUUUGAAUUCAAUUUUUUUAUGAUUAAUAUUUAAAAAAAACAGUUUUAAGCAAUUUAUAAAUACAAGUUUUAAUGUUUCUUAUAAUUUCAUCUUGUACUUUCAUAUGUCUUGAAUUUAAGAUUAAAAAAAAAACUCUAAUAGCAAACCAAACACCUCCACAACUUAUUAUUAUUAUUAUUAUUAUUAUUAUUAUUAUUAUAUAUUUUUUAAUUUGUGGUGAGGUUUGAAACAUUCAACUCAAUUUGUACUUGUUACAGAAUUUGAUUCUUUGAGAGAUUUAGAGGAGCUAGACAUUGGCGGGAACAAGAUUGACAAAUUUGUGGUCUCAAAAGGUACUACAAAUACCAUAAAAAAAAUAUGCUAACUUUUACAAAUUAGUUAGAUUCUUUGCCAUUUGGUUUAUUAUUUUACAGGUUUGAGUAAGUUGAAGUCUCUUGGUUUAAGUGGUAUCAAACUCAAUCGUAGCAUCUUAUCUUCUCUUUCUUCGUUAAGAGAAUUAGAUAUAAGUCGUACGGGAUUCAAAGGAACAUUUGAUGUUCGAGGUAAGCCUAAACCUUGCUUUCUCAUUUUAUAUAUGCCAACUAGAUUUGUGUAUCAUCGACAUAAUUUAAUAUUUAAUUUGAUAAGUCUGAAGGAAUUACAUGCUAAUUUAAACACACUUUUAUUUACUUUGUCAAUUAAUCAAUUAAUUACUAUUUGGCUUGGUUUGGACGAAAUUCUCAUGAUGUUUUAAUUUCUUUAAAUUAAUUAAUUAAUUAACUCUGUUUUUAAGUCUUAAGUCUGGGCAUGUUUGCAGAAUUUGAUUCCUUCAAUAACUUAGAAGUGUUGGACAUGAGUUGGAACGAAAUCGACAAUCUUGUGGUUCCUCAAGGUAAACAAUUAAAAUAUUAUUCAAUUACAUUAUUUUAAUUCAUUUGAUUAGAGAAGGCCAAAAAGGUAAAAAAAAAAUUCAAUAAAGAAAUAGAGAAUUUGUAUUAUUUAAAAAACAGAAUGUAAUAAAGAUUUGAUUCUAGUUCUUUAAUCUUUAAAGCGAUUGAAAAACAAUGUUGGUCUUUUCGCAAAGCAUAAAAUACGAAUUGAAUGCCAAUUAACUUAAUCAUUCAUUUCGUUUAGCUCUAAAUUUAGACAAUGAAUUUUUAUAUUAUUUCAAAAACAGGACGUAAUAGAAUUUUUUUAAAAAUAGAUUGUAAUGAAGAUUUGAUUCCAAUUCUUUAAUCUUUACAGUGAUUGAAAAACGAUACUACUUCCCAAAGCAUAAAAUACGAAUUGACUCUCAAUUAAAUUAAUCAUUUAUUUCGUUCAUCUCUGAAUUUAAAUAAUGAAUUUUGAUCUUCAAUCUUUUCCUAAUUAUUAUUAAUAAACAGGUUACAGAGGUUUGAGGAAGUUGAAAAGCUUUGGUCUAUCGGGAGUUGGAAUUAGAGAUGGAAGCAAGUUGUUACAGUCAAUGAGAUCAUUCCCAUCCCUCAACACUCUUGACCUGACCGAUAAUAAUUUUACCAAUAUAGCGACCGCUACUCAAGGUAAGUAAAAGGUACAGAUGUGGCCAAAUUUAUAAAUAAAUUGUUUAUUAAUUAAUUUUUUCGUAUUAUUAAUUAAGCUAAAUUCGUUGCUCCUUCCUUCUAAAUCUAAACAGAGUUGCACAAUUUCACCAACUUGGAAUAUUUGACAUUGCACGGUUCCUCUCUCCAUAUAAGCCUUCUGCAAAGCAUUGCAUCAAUAUUCCCUUCGUUAAAAAAUCUGUCGAUGUCUUUUUGUGAAGUCAAUGGUGUUGUACGCGGUCAAGGUAAAAGAAAAGCGUUGAUUGUGAACUCACUCAAUGGUGUCCUACGUGUUCAACAUUUUUAUUUAUUAAUUUAUUUAUUGUUUAAUGUUUCUGCUAGGUUUUCCUCAUUUCAAGAGUUUGGAACAUUUUGACAUGAGCUCCACACGCAUUGCACUCAACACCAGCUUUCUUCAAAUCAUCGGUGAAUCGAUGCCUUCUCUUAAGUACUUAUCACUGUCAUAUUCUACUCUUGGCACUAACAGCAGCAGGAUUCUUGAUCAAGGUUAAUGAGAUGCUGCCACCCUCCCUUCUUAAUCUAUAAUAUUAAUUUUCGAUUAAAUAUUUAAUUACACAAACCAAUCACUUAUUAUAAAAGAAUAAUACGCAUUCAUUAAUUUUUAAAUUGUAUUAAUAAUUGAUGAAUUUAAUAAAUUUUCAGGCCUCUGUUCGUUGAUGCAUCUACAAGAGUUACACAUUGCUUAUAACGAUUUAAGAGGUAGCUUGCCUUGGUGCUUGGCAAAUAUGACAUCCCUCCGAAUAUUAGAUGUUUCUUCCAAUCAACUUACUGGAAGCAUCUCCUCAUCUCCCCUCGUUCAUUUGACAUCCAUUGAAGAGCUGAGGCUUUCAUACAACCACUUCCAGAUCCCAAUUUCACUUGAACCACUUUUCAAUCAUUCAAGACUCAAGAUUUUUUAUGCUGACAACAACGAACUAAAUGCAGAAAUAACUGAGUCACAUUCUUUGACCGCCCCAAACUUCCAAUUAUCACGUCUCUCAUUGUCUUCCAGUUACGGAGACAGUUUCAUAUUCCCCAAAUUCCUUUACCAUCAACAUGACCUGGAGUAUGUUGAUCUCUCACACAUAAAGAUGAAUGGAGAAUUUCCAACUUGGUUGUUGGAAAACAACACAAAAUUGAGACAACUUUCUCUCGUCAAUGAUUCUCUUGCAGGACAUUUCCGGUUGCCAAUUCAUUCACACAAGCGGUUAGGACUGUUGGAUAUAUCCAACAACAACUUCCGAGGCCACAUUCCAGUAAAAAUUGGAGAUGUUUUACCAAGUUUAUACGUUUUCAACAAUUCCAUGAAUGCUUUAGACGGUAGCAUUCCCUCUUCAUUUGGUAAUAUGAAAUUCCUCCAAAUUCUGGACUUAUCCAACAAUCACUUGACUGGUGAAAUCCCCGAGCACUUGGCCGUGGGUUGCGUCAACUUGCAGUCUCUUGCAUUAUCAAAUAACAACCUACAAGGUCAUUUGUUCUCUAGAAAUUUUAACUUGACAAACUUGCAAUGGUUACAAUUGGAGGGCAAUCGCUUCGUAGGUGAGAUCCCACAAAGUUUGUCUAAAUGCUCCUCACUAGAAGGAUUGUAUCUUAACAAUAAUAGUCUUUCGGGUAAGAUUCCACGAUGGUUGGGUAAUCUCACAUGGUUACAAUAUAUUAUACUGCCCAAUAAUCAUCUUGAAGGCCCUAUUCCAGUGGAGUUUUGUCAGCUUGAUUCGCUUCAGAUUUUGGACAUUUCAGACAACAACAUAUCUGGAAGUUUACCAUCUUGUUUCCAUCCUCUCUCUAUCAAACAAGUUCAUCUUUCAAAAAAUAUGUUACAUGGACAGCUAAAAAGAGGUACAUUCUUUAAUUGCUCUUCCCUUGUGACAUUAGAUCUUAGUUAUAACCGCUUGAAUGGCAGCAUUCCGGAUUGGGUUGAUGGGCUUUCUCGGUUAAGCCACCUUAUCUUAGGUCACAAUAAUCUUGAAGGUGAAGUGCCAGUUCAAUUGUGCAAAUUGAACCAACUACAAUUGUUAGAUCUUUCUAAUAAUAAUCUUCACGGUCUUAUUCCUCCUUGCUUUGAUAACACCACACUUCAUGAAAGUUACAGCAAUAGUUCUAGUCCUGAUGAGCAAUUUGAAAUAUUUUUUUCCAUCGAAGGCCCUCAGGGAGGUGUAGAAAAGCAAAUCCAUGAAAAUUUUGAGUUCACAACAAAGAACAAUGCAUACAUUUACCAAGGAAAAGUGCUUAGCCUCCUAUCAGGACUUGAUCUUUCUUGCAACAAGCUAAUCGGUCAUAUUCCUCCUCAAAUUGGAAAUUUGACAAGGAUUCAAACAUUGAAUCUAUCGCACAACAACUUGACAGGAUCGAUCCCAUCAACAUUUUCAAACUUGAAGUAUGUCGAAAGUUUGGAUCUUUCCAACAACAAAUUGAAUGGGAAAAUCCCUUAUCAACUAGUGGAGUUAAAGACAUUGGAGGUUUUCAGUGUGGCAUACAAUAACUUAUCAGGCGAAAUUCCAGAAUGGAAAGCACAAUUUGCAACCUUCAACGAGAGUAGCUAUGAGGGAAAUAUUUUUCUUUGUGGACUGCCAUUGCCUAUUUGCAUAUCACCAACAACUACGCAGGAGGCUUCAAUUGACAAUGAACGAGAUGAUAAUUUAAUUGACAUGGACAGUUUCUUUAUCACAUUUACAACAUCGUACGUAAUUGUGAUAUUCGGAAUUGUUAUUGUUUUAUAUGUAAAUUCUUAUUGGCGACGUAGAUGGUUUUACUUUGUUGAAAUGUGGAUAACUUCAUGUUAUUAUUUUAUUGUAGACAAUCUUAUUGCAACAAGAUAUUGUCAUUGAAAUUAAUUAGCAGUUUAAUUACCAUUCUUUAAGUUCUAAUCAAGUUUGCUUAGGAAAUAAAUUUAUUUUUAUUUUUUAUUAAAAUUGUAGUAGUAUUUAGCGCUAUAUAGCUUCCAACUUCCGAGCACUUCACAUUUGUCUCUACACUUCCAAACCCAUAUCUGUCCACCAUAACUUAUACUUCCUUAUACUGUGCAGCAUACUUAAAUAAGAGAACCAUCUCCAAUGUUAAAACCAACCACUCUAUAACAUUCAUUUAGAAACUAUAUUUAGAAUAUUUUUAUAAUCAUACACAAGAAAUGAAACACCUAGAUGCACUUGAUCGCCUUUUUUUACUUUAAAAAAUAAUGAUUAUGGUGCUAUCAUCAUCUUCUUCACUAGCGUCAUUAACACCAAAUCCAGCGACGGACCCAUACAUUUUAUCAAGAAAGGUAUAUAUAUAAUAAAGUUGAAGCUCGACAAAAAUUCAGGAAGAUUGAUGCCUCGCCACAACAAGGGGCACACCAACAUCAAAGUAGAGAUGAAGCAAUAUUCUCAAAGCUAAAACUCUCAAAUCCACCCACCAGAAUUUCAUAUCCCUCAACAAUUUUAAGAACUAAAGAUAAUUAGGAUCUAACAUUAGUUUUUUAUAUAUUAGUUUCAUAAUUUACAAAUCAAUGAAGAUGAAGAUUAUGCUAAUGAAUUCAAAUUAUACCAUACAUUCUCGAGAUGUUACCAAAAAUUUCUAAGUCAAUCCCACAUAUUUCAUAAUUUUAAGACUAGAAAAUUUCAUUAGUUAGAAGUUUAUUACCUUCAAGUGGAAGAUGAAGAACAUUAUACAACUGAUUCAGAUUAUAUCAUACAUACUCCAAAUGCAACUAGAAAUUAACAAGUUCAUGCGCACAGAUUUCAUAACAUUAUGAUUGGAAAGUUUCACAAAGAGAAAUUCUAAAUUCAAUCUAUUGCAUCAAGGUAGUUUGAUUGAUUUGAGUUACUUUCUGAUCAAGCUACUAAUAUAACAUUCAAGUCAGGGAGAAAGUAAAUUAAAUCUGAGAAGAAAUAACAAUAAAAAUUUGUUGCUAAACAUGAUGUGUAUUUUUUUUUCAAGGCAAUUUGGAAACACAGUUGUUACUACAGAUAUUCUCCUCAACUUAGAGAUAAAUACAAAUAUUAAAAUGCAUAUGAUCGCACAUAUUACUUGGAGCUUAGUAAGAUUUCAUAAAGAGAAGAAAUCAAACCACUUAUCAAUUGUUGCAAUCGUUCUAUAAGCUAAAAUAGCAAUAUAAUACAAGAAAAGGAACAUAUAGAUACUUGGCAAGAGUUCAUUAAGAAGUCGCAUCACAUUCGGGUGAGUUUGCUUCUGAUAUCUUGCUAGCGGGGGCUUUUUCUUGUCUUUCUACGUAUGCCGAGGGAAACUAACCAGCUUGGCCCUUGCAUUCACCUUCUGACCAUCCAGUAGGAGCCACCUUGAGAAGUUAUAACUAAAACAGUGAAUUAAACAAAAGUUGACCGUUCAAAGACCUAAGGGGAAAACUAAUUCUUUUACGUAGGAGGAGUGAAUUAGUUGUGAUCACUGAAAUAACAGCAUAACUAUGGAAGCAUAACAAGAUAUAAAUUCACACGUCUAUAAGGGUAAACUGGGUGGUUUAGAACUGAGCUAGCAACCCUACUAUAUUCUGAUUUGCACUUCAAUGUAAAAGGGAAUAUAUGGUAGGAAGAAAGAAAACCAACCAUCAUUUGUUAACUCAUUGCUUUUCAAUCAAAAUUUUAAGAACAAAAUGCCAUGUGCUUUGAACAUCAAAUAAGUAUAAGCAUUAGUUCUAAAUUCCACAUAUCAUAAGUUAGAAGGAUAAGUUAAUAGCAUAGUAGAAAAAUCUCUGUGUUGUUAUUUAGAGGGGAAAGUACCAGGCGAACCACAACAUAAUCAUCAAUUGAAAGACUUAGCUCUCCAUUUGCUUGAGCAUCAAAUGGAUGUAUAACCUGCAAGAUAAUGGGAUAAAUAGAACUUAAAUCUUAAAAAAAGCAUAACAAAAGCAGCAACAGUAGCAGCAGCGUUCAUUGUAACCACUAUGAUCAUGGCCAACAAAGAUAUAUUAGAAACAAAAUUCCAUUUUUACUACGACAUUAAUAUGUACUAUAUGAUAUCAUGACGAUAGGGUUACCAAGAGCUAUCAAAGUCCAAUAAAUUCUGUAUAACUUUAUGUAGUUAUUCAAAUUAUGGAUCAGAUUUUAAAUCUGAAAUUUUGACUGCUCUCCACAAAACAUGGCCUAUGCACAAGAAAGUCAUAGAUAAUGAGGAUUACAAGUGUCUGACAUCUUUUGAGUGAUGGAUUUAACAUGAGAGCUUAUGGUCAGUCAAUUUCCUCUGCCUAGCAAUAUAAGCUUUUUCGGCCAGAUUUAUCAUCAAAUACAUAGAUUGCCCCCAAGUCACAUCCAUAUAAACAUAGUUUUUCUAGGUAAACCAAGUAAGGAAAAUCAUAAUUCAGACAUAAUCAUAAAAAGACCCAUCUAACUUUCUUUGGCAUGCCUAACUCAGCUUUGAUGUUGCUGAGAUAUUGAUAGUAGAGACACAUGAUACUUCUAGCUCAUGCAUUCUAUCUAGCUCAUCUGACAGCUAUCUCUUUUUUAAUUCAUUAGUGUUUGCUAAACCUCAUGCUUAAGAGUCCUGUUCUCCUAAACAAAGUUUUCUAAGAAUGACUUCCUCAGCACCACAUUUGGACACUUUUAAAGCAAUUUUAUUUGGGGGAAAAGAAUUUUCAAGGUGUUAACUAAUAAAUUUUAAAAAAUAAUUACAAUUUGUCCUACGAUUAUAUGACAAUUUAUCUGGGAUGAACGGAUACAGACAAACAUCUUCCACUUUUAAGACUAAUCACUACUUCCGUAGAUGUUUUGCAAUAACACAAAUGCUUGACCAGAUGGUAGUGAUGGUAGAAAAAAAUUUUAUUGCUCUAAAAUUAAAAUAAGAAUGCAAUAUGUUAAGCAAAAGACUGUGCAACAUCAAAUUAAUUGAUAAGUUUGUAAUUCAGUAAAUUAACAACUUUCAUGGUAAAAUACAACAAAUUUCUUUUCAAAAAAAAAUCUUAAAAGACAGCAUUCAAUUUUGUGCGCAUCUUAUUUCUUAAGAUUUUCCAGGAGGGCAAUACAGGGACUUUCACCUACGCAAGAGAGCAAAAGCCUUACUUUCGCUAUAAAGUAGACGUCAUUCUGAUUAAUAUGCGUUUGCAAAUCAGCUCCAUUUGAAUCAGUAUUCUGAUAGACACAUGAGGCAUUUACAUCCAUUUCCAAAGUCACAUGUUGCGAGGAGGACUCAUUUGAUUGCUCCUCUAGGAUCAUCUAAUUCAAGUAGCAAGGGUUGGAAGAGAAUAAAAAGUCACAAUUAUUCUUUUGCAUAAGUGAGACGAAAAUGAUAAAUGCACUAUUAUCAGCAGUAAACAAGAAGAGAACACUCCAAGGAAUAGAUAGAUGCGGACAAGCAAGUUAAAAUGCAAAGUUCCAAACCUCCGCAUACAACUUCUCUAAAAUAGCAAUAAUGUGUUGAUGAUAUGUUUUCUCAGCAUCUACCUGCAAAGGCCCGAGACUAGGAAAACAACAAUAAAACCACUAGCUAAAGGAGAAAGUAAAUAAAGAAAUACACUUGACAUAAAUCUUGACAAGAAGCACAAUUUAAGACAUAACAAACCCCAAUCAUAUUGUUUAGAACUACCAUUCGUUAUUUCGUUAUUGUAGCAUUUCGAACAAGUGUUGACUUAAUUCAACAUUGUUGGAAAGAUAGGCUUUUAGAAGCGGAAGAAAGCCACUCAAACCAAAGUGAUUAUCCUUGUAUUGAUCAAGGGAUGUAAACAUAUUACAUUUGCAGGAUGAGUUUUAAUCACUCCCCUGAUUUAUUUGGGUUGCAGUAAAACUAAGCGAGCAACUGUUUGACUUUCAAGCAACAUCUAAAUCAGCUAUUAAAAUUCAAAUAAAAUCAUAAUAGAAUAAUAACAGGCCAUCUUGCAUCAAAAAUUAAGUUUAAUUUGUGAAUUUUUUUCUAUAGACAUGUUAGUUCCUGCUAUUGAAAUGUUAAAAGCAUUGAAAAAUUAUUCAAUAAAUUAUGCAAACAUUAAAAUAGAGGACAUAUUAAAAAGUUUCUAAUUACAAUGUUAUGAUUUCCUAUAUUUUAGCAUUUGCAUAUUUUAAUUUAUUUAAAAGCUACGUCGAUCAACUUUGGGCGUGAAGAUUUUAGCUUCUACGAGACUUGAUUGGAAUAUGCAUAAGGAAGAGUGUUAAAAUAUGAUGCAUCCAACGAAAGACAAACCACGUGUAGUCUUUUAAUUAAGCCAAGAGUAGUGCUAGAGAGAGAGAAGCACGAGAGAAGGACGAGAGAAUUUUGCCCCUUUCUCUCUACCCACUCAUUCUCUCUCUACCCCUUUUUUCAUUGUUUCUCUCGUCUUUCUCUCGUGUUUCUCUACACCAAGCAUUUUCCUUAAGCCAAAGUAGCAGCUCAAACAAAUGACACUUGGACCAACAUGCAAUCAUGAAGUGGCCGGAAAAAGGACAAAUGCAACUUUGGCUUAAAUAAAAAAUAACAUGUGACUUGACUUUUGCUGGACAUGCAUCAUGUUAUUACAAGACAACAGAAAUCAGUAUGAUAGUACUAAAAGUUGACAAUAACAUGAAGAUAAGAGGCAGAAUGUCAACAAAUGCAUAGGCACACACAAGAAAGUAUUAACUUAUAUACCAUAGCAAAAAGUCUUUGAUAUGUCAUCUGUUGCUGCUGUGAUUCAACUGACAGCAUGGCAGCUGUCGCUUCUCUACCAAGAGCCAUUAUUGUAGAUUUAAGCUCGGUCAAUCUUGCUUCUGCAUUUCGAAGCUUCACAGCACUCUCUGCUGAUAUAUCAGAUUCCCUAAUCUUUGAUCGGCGCCUAAAUACUUCAGCUGCCUGGUGAAAAUAUUCAAUAUAAAUCUAACAUAAUUCUAAUCUUGCCUUAUACAUGCAUAUGUUAACUCAAAGCUUACCUGCGCUUCAACUUCAUGUCGAAGUUUGUCAUAACGAUGAGUCAGGUGUCGAGCAUCUUCCAAAGGUGCUCCAUUGAUUAACGCCCGUAGUGGCUCAGAUACCGACAUGUCCAAAAACCUGUAACAUAGUUAGAAAAAUGAAAAGAAAGAGCAAAACCUCAAUUAAAAAGUUCCUCCAACAUAAUCAUGGAAUUUGGGCCUACUUCAAGGAUAUAUAUAAGGAUAAUUUAUGCAAUUUUGGGUCUAAGGAUGAUUCAUAUUAGGUUAGUGUUCUUCUCUUCUGUAUUUAAGGUUAAAAUAGAAAUAAACCUAUGAAAAUAUCUAAAUUAGGGCUGUAAGACUUCCACAUGCAUCCUUCAGUCUCAUGGAUUUGAUUUUACUAUAGAUGCAAGUGUCUUUAUCGAAAAUGCUUGGAGUCAAUUGAGAGAACUCACGGCCAAUAACUUGUCACACGCUAGUCUUUGCUAGUGAUGUAAGAAGUCACAAGGUCUCUUCAACAUUUGAACCAAUAAAAUUAUUAAGUCAUGGAUGUCACUAGCAAUGAUUUUAAUAUAAAACAUUACAUAUUUCAGAGUUGAAACUUUAAAAUGGAUUCUUUUAUUCAGUAUCUUAGAACUAAGUUUCCUUAUGAGAAGAUAAUAGUUUCAGUAGUAAUUUACAUAUAAUUUUCUAUAUUUGAAUUAUUUUCUAGUUAGGGAUGAACUAACCUGAUCACGAAGAAUCCCAAGCAAAGUUUCCCUCUCAUUUUCCAUCAAAUCAUGUGAAGUGCCAAAUUGAAGAGCAGCUCUUGCAACGCAAGAAUUGUCACUUUGAUUCUCCACUCCAUACUUGCAACAAUCUUCGGCCAACUUUCUCGCUACAAUAUUUGAAUACAAAAAUAUUGUACACGAGAACUAGUCAAGAAAAUUAAAAAAAAAAAAAAUCAAAUAUUAUAACGAGAGCAAGAGCAAACAAACAACCUAUUUCCAUUUGUUUCAAGCUUACUGCAACAAACCCUUCAACGCCACGGACAACAUUCCUCUGAAAAUGCUGCGCUACAGAGCAUAUAUUCCAAAUUAUUGUUCAGAUAAAACCAUACAAACCAUCAUAAUUAUUCAACAUACAUUAAGCUCCGUUUGGUAAAUACUUGCAACUUCAGUCCAGAAAAUACAGUUAAUUUUUAUUUAAAAAACAUCAUAAUUAUCAACAUACAUAUUUGACAAAAUUAUUAUUUAAAAAUCAUAACUAAUUACCAAAAGCCACAAUAAAUCAAUAUCAAACAGUCUUAUUAUUAGCUAAAGGAGGAUAGUACCUUAGCUGCCCUGGUGGAAUUGUAUAGAUUUUGAAGUUGUUGGUGACACUCAAUUUCAGAUUCAUCAACAUUUUCAAUACCAAGAUGGAGCAGAUGCUUCAAUACUGCCUGUACAAACCAUAAAAAACUAAUGAAAAAUAAAUAAAAUCGAGAAAUUUCACUAAAUAAAAGUCUAAAUAUAAUUUUUAAAAAAAGAAAAGAAACGGACUUGCUGCUGCUUGGCGACUUGUUCUCGGAGCUUGAUUGCCUGUUUCUUGAUAGCUUCCAUACUGUUUCUUUCAAAAAGCGACGACGGCUCAGCUCAUGGAGGUGGAAAAAAAAAAGUGUGAUGGAGAAAAAUAAAAAGGCAUGAAUAAUUUUUGACAAAAAGCGAAAAUCAAGGAAAGCCAGCUCUUUCCAGAAAAAUAAAAAAGAAAAAAGAAAAUUAUAAGUUUGAAAGGAGAAGAUGAUAGUGGAAGUGUGCGGUGUGGCUGCCAGCUACUUGGAUUUUACUGUUGGGUAAGGUAAUAGUAGAGAAUUUUUUUUUUUUUUUAAGAAAAAUAGUAGAGAAUUUUUUAAGAAGCUAGAACAGAGCAUGACAUUAGACUUUUGUGGACCAAAUUCAAAAGCCGAAUGGCACGGCCCAGAAGCUUUUGAAUAGAAAAACUUGCAUCAGCCUCAAUCACUUCUUAAUCGCUUGCUUUAACUGCAUCGCUCUCUCUGUGCUCUUCUAUAUAUGUAACGGUUAUGCGGUUGUAGUUCACGACUGAGGCUACGUGUUGGUUUGACGUGGCAGUUACGUUACUAGGGGAUAAAUAAGAUUGGUUUCAACAAACCCACUAAUUUUAUAAAAUUCGAGUAAUAUAGAAUAAAAUAAAAAAAAUAAAUACAAAAUUGGCUUUUAUUUUUUCUGGUUGACUGUAUUUUGUGUUCUCUUCCGGCACUACUACAAUUGUUCCCUAUAUAUUAGUCACACCCAUAUGUCAUUAACACAAGAAAUGAAAUCUAAUGUCACCUAUUUAGUUAAAGAAUCACUUAUGAAAAAAUUUUACCAUUUUGAUUUGAGGAUCCAUAUUUUGAACUGCAAACUAAUGUUCAUCAAGAACAGAGUAUGACUUAUGUGUAGAAAAUUUUAUGAUUUUGGCCCGAAAUAUAAGGAAAUUAAAUUAGAUGAGAAUCUGCCACUUUCUCAUGAAGAAAGGCAUGCGGAGCAUACCAUGGUACCAUACGGAGAAUAUUAGAACCUCCCUAGAAUAUCUUUACCCUGAUGUUUCUAACAAAAAUCUGCAUGUGGCAGCAAUUACUAGAUCUACAAUUUCCCAAAUAAUAUUUUGUGUUUCUUAAAAAAUUUGAAAUACAUAGUUGCACUUGCACACCGUGAGACAGUGCUACAAUCUACUGAGAUCUAAAUUAUAUGAGACUUUAAGCUACUAAUGUUUGCAUAUUUCUACAUGUCAAAUUAACAUUACCAUCUAUAAUCCUAAACGACAGAUGAUAAACGGCUUUUGGCCACUUAUUACUAGCAUCCACAAUUAAUUUUUGUUCAGCAAUCAGCUUAUUUUAUAGAAAUUGAUUUAGUCAGCAACAAACACUAUAAUACUUGAAAUUAGUUCUUGUUCUUUGUAAUUUUCUAUGAUUUUUCAUAUAUCAAUUAAUCUGCAGUGCCAAGAUGAGGUUUAGUUUUCAAACUAAAUAAUCAAGUAAGCAAAAAUACAAAUUCAGAGAUUAGCGGGGUAAACUAGCUGGGUGGUUUAGAACUGGGCUAGCUACCUCCCUGUAUUCCUAUUUGUAAGGUGAAUUAAUUGAAUCAUGAGAAAACAAUGUGACCAUAGCUCAAUAUGAGAUGAUUUCGGAGAGGCAUAUUGUUUUCGAGUGAAUUUGAUCCAUUAAGAGAUGAAGUGGAUUGAAGUGGAAAGUUUAAAUAACAAAUCCUUGUUCUUGAGUUUUACGACGUCGUUACUCCUUCAGGUGGCAGAUUAUGCAAGUGAAUUCAAAAACACAAUGCAUCAAUCACGGGGACAAAAGACGGGAUCACAGUCUAUGCAUUGAACAGUUACAGUUGCUGCUACCAAUUGUUCGGCAAAGAUCAAGAAGACUGAACGGGAAGCUAAUGCCAUCAAUGUCGUCUUCACUAUAUCUGCUGGGAAUGUAGGUGAACUUUCCUCAUUUGCAGCUGUCUAUACAUAGGCUUUUCCCCAGCUUAAGUACAAAUAAAUGAAGCUGCCUUGAAGGCUUUAUUAUUGACCCCAAUAAGGAUUACUAAUUGAAGAAGACUAUACGGAGUUAAUCUCACAUUUUAGUUCUCUCAAUUUCUUUCAGAAGUGCCUCUGAAAAUAGCUGCCAAACCGUUAGUCAGCUUGUAUACUCUGUUUUCUGGAAACAGAGUAGCAUAUUUAAUCGUUUUAAUUGAAUUGUCUUCGUAGCGAUCAUCAACAAACUCAUCAUAAGAUUUUUGAAGCACCCAAGGACUAUCACUGGGUUUCUCUUCUGGUUGAUUUAUUAAUUAAUCAAAGAACGGUUGGAUGAAGUGCAAUGAUGGAGCAAAAUUUACAAUGUCUCCGGUUUCUCCUGACCAUCGGACUUUUGCAGUGAGAACAUAUAACAAAAAGACCUUCAUCAAAAUUUGUAGACUCCGGGUAUGGAUUGGAUCGAGUUUUUUGUUUGAUAUUGAAGAACCACUUUACUAUCGCGAUAUAGAUUAUGUGCAAGGGGUUGUCUACUGUUCUUUGCCUUGUGCUAUGAUCGGUGCUUUUGACGUUGCCCCGAAACAGUGGAAAAUACUUCGAUUUCCUCCGUUUGAUGAUGCAAAGAACUGGUUAAUGUACGAUUACCUAAUUGACUCAGGAUCAAGUAACAACAACAAUUUAUUAAUAGUAGUAUCACAAACGAAGAAGAUUUCGGAGAGGGUGAUGUAUGCCUAUACCGUUUACAGGUUUGAUCCACAGGGGAUGAAGUGGUCUCAAGUGGAAAGUGAUUUAUUAAACAACAAAUCAUUGUUCUUGGGUCAUACCUCAUGAUGUCAUCAAGUGGAAGAUGAAGAUUAUGCAAGACGAAGAUCGUUUGAUAUUGAAGAAUUUGAACAGAAAGCCCAUAGAAAGUACUUAAAUAAGCAUAUUCUUGUUGGGGUAGAAUAUUAAGAAAGGAGUUGUCUACUGUGUGUUGCGUGAUUAGGCUAUGAUCUGUGCUUUGAACAUUGCCCUCAAAACAGUGGAAAAUACUUCAUAUCCUCGACAUGAUGAUGAAAAAUUGGUUACCGAUUACCUAAUUGACUCAGUGACAACAAUCUAUUAAUAGCACAAUUUGGCGUGAUGCCGUUUAGGUAUAUGGUUUUCAAGUUUGAUUCAUCAGUGAUGAAGUGGACUAAAAUAAGAUGUUUAAAUGAUAAGUCAUUGUUCUUGGGCAUAUCGUCAUUACUACUUCUAGUGAUCAAAGAUGAAGAUGAAGAUGAAGAUGAAGAUGAAAAUUGUGCGAGUUCAAGAUUACCAUCAACUCAAUUUUAUGAUUGGAGUGUCUCACCGUGACUCAGACAAAUUCUGAUUCAACCUCCUUCACCAAUGGAUUUUGAUUAGUUAUUUUGUGAUCAAGCAACUUAAUUAAACUCACAGUUUGUUAGUCUAAUUUUAGUUUUACUGUGACCACUAUUCAAGGUAAGCGAAAGUUACAGAUGUGGCAAAAUCAAUAAUUAAAUUCAUAAAAUGUUAAAAAAUAAAACUUAUAAAUUUUGCAUGACUACUUACUAAUAAAUAAAUAAGUUAGAAUGUAGUUAGUUAAUUUUACACCAUAUUAUAUAUUAUUCGAUAAUAAUAUAAAAUAAAAAGAAUUAAAAAAUAAAUAAUUGAAUAAACAAAUAUGACUUUCUAAACAGUAAAAAUUCUAGAGUUAAAAUUUAUAUUAUUAUUUUAUUUUUUAAAAUUGACAUAUUUCUAUUAUCUUACAUGUACACAGAUUUUGAGAGUUGAGAAGAAUAUAUUUAAUGAAGCUUGCUAACAUUUGGUGGGAUAGCAAGUAAGGGUAAAUAAGAUUUUUUUGUUAUUUAUUUGAAUUAUAUCUAUUUUGUUCAAGUUAAAAUACUAAAUAUAAAUUGGAGGUAGACAUUUUAACAGAUCAUCUAAGCUCUCAAAUCUGAAAUUUUGUGUAGAUUUAAAUUCAUAAUUUUAGUUAAUUUUCAUACAUUCAUAUAAACAAAUUUAUGAGAUUUUUCUUUUCAGCAUGUUAUAUUUUGAAACUUUCAAUGUAUUAUUCUAGCUUUAUUUAAAUAAUUAAUUUAUUUAAAAUUUAUUUAAUUUUGAAUUUGAUCAAUAGUAAAAUUAUUUUUAUAUCAAAUUUUUUUAUUUAAAUAGUUCGUGGAUUGGACAAAAUUAAAAAUUUUUAAUCCACAAAAUGGUGGAUUAGAUAUGAAUUGGGUUAAAUACACAUUCGAUCCGCAGUCGUAUGAAUUUGAUUUGGAUUGAAUUUCAUCAAUCCAUGGAUUAGAUUGGAUUGAAAAAUUUAUUAUCCGCAAAAUCGUGGAUCGAAUAUGGACUGAUGUCCAAUCAGCAAAAUCCAAUCCCCGAACACUCCUCUAUCAAAAUUUUCAAGAAUAUUUUUUAUCUUACAAAUUUUUUUUAAAGUCAUAGUCUAAGGGCGGCCCAAUUUCUACUCCAUCCAUAUAAGCGGAGUUCAAAUCUCAUACCUCUUAUCUCCACACAAGAGAUUUAACCAAUUGAAAUAGCUAGCACCCACAAGUAUACUAGUACAGCAUCUCUUAACGUUUAACAUACGUAAAAUUAACGCCAUAGCUAUUGAUAAACACAUUGUUCAAUAUAUAUGAUCAAGAAUCUGAUCCUGCGAGCAACAGCAGUCAGAAGAACCAUUAUAAUGCCUAGCUCUUAUCCUGGUUAAUCCUCUGGCCCGAUGCUUCAUCAUAGUGAUUUAAAAAACCAACAACAGCUCUCUAAAAGAGAUGAAGAUAUCAUCUACGUAAAGAACAUGAGACGGAGAUUCACAACCCAUAAGAACUGAGAUAAAUUGGACCAGACCAGUAAUCUUGAGAUAAGUUAAACUGUGACUUAAGUUGAAAUCAGAGGACAGGAAUUUUAAAAUCUUUCGGCUAAGCCCCUGAGGAAUUUUCUAGAGUACGACUUCUGCUUACCUCUGUUUAAUUUCUCUUUAUAUUUUUCUUUCAUUUCAUUAAUAAAGUCAAAUAAUAAAUCAAAGAACGAGGGAAGAUUUUUCCAAGUCAUGCAUUAUUUGAUUACCAUCAAUCAAGAAACCGACCAAAUUAAUUUCUCUCCGUGAUUUUUAAAAAUUAAAAAAAAAAUAUUUGAGCAUAACAUCAUUAAUUAUAGAGUGGAUCAAACUGCGUUAAUCAUGAACUUUGUUGUGUUAAUUAUUUCAAUCCCCGAUUACGCAAUUUUUAAAUUAUAGCCUAACGGUGGUCUCAUCACCACGUGUGUGAUUUUCUUUUGCCAAUAGGAUCUGUAGAGAGCUUGAUCUCACCCAAUAGCAAAAUAAACUUCCUAAUAAGUGAAGGCAUAGUAUAAAUAAUUCACCCCCAUAUUAUUUAUUAGCAGCUUGAUUAUUUUAUAUGCAUCUUUGAUUUAAAUUUUUUUUUCCCAUAAUUGCUACUAUGUUCGAACUGGUCAUGAAUUAUCUAUAAGAUUUUUCAUGUUGCUUUUAGGUGCAUUGGAUUUUUUUUAGUUUAGUGCAAGAGUAGAGGAAGGCAAAUUAAGAAAAAGGAUAAAGAUCUAUGAUUAGCUAUUUUGGGAUGUCUCAUAACAUAUUGAUGGUAACAUUAUACAUAUGUAUAUCUAAAAAAUGGGGUUGGAUCAAGAGCCCAUUAAUAAUCAUAGAUUAGCUUAUAUAGCAAUUUCACAAGCACAUGUUAGCCUAUGUUGAGCUUUAUUAUCAAUAGUUCAUAGUUCAUCGGUGCACUGCAGGUUUACUAUUUGAAGUAAAUAUUAUGGUGCGUGCAUUUUUUAUAAGGCCAACUGCUGAAUUUAGCAUUGAAACUUACAAAAUGUAAUAGAGAGAGGUAGAUAACAGCCACAAAACACUAAGAUUGGAAAUCAGGGCUACUAAAUACUAUUACAAGCCCUUAGAAAAGACACUGAUCAUCCUAGAAUGUAUAUACUGAAAGUAAGAAAUAUUAAUCGCAAAGUUAUGUGCCAACAAAACUAUUGACUACUUGUCUCUAGCAGAAGGUAUAUAUUUUUAACUUCAGCUCUCUACUUUGUUCUAAGAACUAGGCAAAAGAAUGAAACUUCGGUGUCUAAAGUUUGCCGCUUGAAAUAUUUCACUGUCUAAACAUUCACUCACCACUUAUUUCAUAAAUGAAUUUUGUCUAACUAUAUGUUGAUAAAGAUAUUAGAGGUAAUAUAAUGCAUUUAAGACUUAACGUAUAUUUUUUAUUAGUAGAGUGUAGAAUUUUUAAGAAAUAAAUUAUUAAAUUACUAUAACUAACAUAUUAUUUUAAAGUUAUGUUAAGAAAAGAAUGAAAAUAAAAAAUAAAAAAAUAAGGGUAUUCUAAAACUUUGAUCCUUUUAAAAGUAGUUUUUGACGUAAAUAAAAUAAUUUUUAUUUUUUUUAAAUCACAUACUCUAGUUAAAAUCAAAUUUGUAUUUAUAAAGAUUGUAAAAUUUUUUUUAGCAUUAAUAUUUGAAUACUUUCAAGAUAAGAAAUAGGGUACUAAUUAUGCUACAACAUUAUUAUAGCACAUAAAAAGACAAUACCCUUUAUAUUAUUAUACUAUCGUUUUUGUUAUGAUAGUAUUUUGUUAGUGGUCAAAUAUUACUUUUUUAAAUAAAAAAGUAGACAAAUGUAAAUCAAUUUUUAAUCUCUCCUAAAAUUCUAAUUCCUAGUUACCAAACAAAAUUGUUUGAAAAUAAUUUGGCUAAGUGCAUGGGUUCUUAAAACUAUAGGUGAUAGAAGUUACAAGCACAAGCAAAUUUGACGGUCCAUUUUAUAAAAUUUUUAAUAAUUUUUUAUUUACCAUUUUACCACCUAUAUAAUGAGUGCCACAUCGACAAAUCAAUUCAUUUGCAAAUUAUAUUAAUUUUGUAAAAUUCAUUUGACUUGCUAAACCCUUCUUAUCCCCUUUCUCGACUGUCAUACCCUAACCUUAUUUCCCGUGUCCACACUUGACCACGCUCAAUUCAGGCCAUCAGAUUAUCCUGGACCCACAUUAAUCCAACUGCUCACAAUGACCGACAGCCUCUCCAUCUCCAUUUCAAGCUUCCUCUUCAACUGGCUUCUGCUUCCGUCGUACUCUUUCUUGGAUUCGGAGUCCGUAUUUGCUCGGCCGGUCCCGCACAGCUCCCUCUCACUCCAAUUGUCACCCAACAAGACCAAUUGCUUAACAUUGACCGUAUGGCAAUUGUCCGUAUUUCUUGGAUUCGGAGUCCGUAUGGCACAGAACAAGAAGAGGAUGAGAAAUUGAAACAAGAAUUUGAGAAUUGGAAAUCGAAAACGUACGCAUUGACCGUGCCUUUGAGGGCAAUUACUUUUCUUGAGAAUUGAAGUUUGGUAAUGUAAUUUGUUCUCCAUCUGUGUUCCCUUUGUAGUCAUUUCAUUUAUUUGUUUGUUUGCUUUUAUUUGCACUUACGAAGUCUCAGAUAUAUCUACGCAGGAAUGAUGCAGGAGAAAUUGAUCCUCGAGCUUACAAGAAAAGUAAAUUUCGAAAGCAUAAUUUGGCUCCGAUUGAGGUAAUAAUUGUCUUUAAACUCAUUUAGUUUUAUAUCAAACAAAAUAAAGGCUGCCUUUCUCUUCAAUAUUUUUUAUGAUAAUAUCUUUAGAAGCAUCUCAUUGACGGGUAAUCAUGGUAUCCCUUAAAGAGUCUAUAAACUCAAUGAUAUUUUCUUCUGCAAAUGGUUCAUUAAACUUCUUAGACGUAGUUAAAUGUACACUAAGAACAACGAGAAGCUAUGCCGCUGUAGCAUGUAGUGAGAUCUUGUUUGAAGUUGUUUUCUGAAAUGAACUGCCAAAUGGUAGUUUUUUAUUUCUUGGGUGCAUUUGAUGACUCUUUUCUCCUCAUUUUAAGCAUGUACCUGCUUGGAAUGGGAAGGAAUAGGCUUCCGAGUUGUUAUAUAUGUUGACAUGCUCUGAUCAUUACACAAAAUGUUCAAAUUGGAAAUUAGAAUGAGAUAUUUGUCGAUGCUUUUUGAGAGAUCUGCAUUCUAUGCACCAUAACAUGAUUAAUGAAAACAGGUUUAAGGACUGGAAAGAUCUGUGGCGGCCCAAGCUUGCAGGAAGGAUUUCAAUGGUUAAUUCUCCCAGAGAGGUUAUUGGUACAGUUUUGAAGUAUAUGGGAGCAUCAUACAAUUCAAACGACAUUGAUUAGCAAGUUGCUGCUGGGAGGAUUGCUGUUCAGCAGAAUCUGGCAUUACUGGGAAACCAGGUACUCUUAAAGAAAUGAUAUCUGGUCAAUGCAUAUUACUGCCUGAGCUGAUUUUGUUUGUAAAGUCUGCCUCUUCAUACAUAUGAAUGCAUAUGUUAGUGUUUUCUUCUCCUUUUAAUACACAUGAAUGCAUAUGUUAGUGUUGUCUUCUCCUUUCCAUAAAUAUGAAUGCAUAUGCUCUGGGUGUUGGUUACUACUUCAAGUGGAAGGUGAAGGUGAUGCAAGUGAUUUCAGGAGUACAUAUAUUCCAAGGAUGCUGGACUAUUAUUGCUUCCCCCCAUAUUUCAGAAUUUUUUGUCAACCUCCUCCACUAAGGGAUUCCAAUUGAGUUACAAAUAUAUUUUCUGUAGCUAUGUUUUAAAGUUUUGGUCUCAUGUUAAUUUUUCUAAUUACUAUUCUUCAACAAAUCUCUUUUACUUUAAAAAACUGCUACAGUUUGAUUUUACUGCCUUAUAUCAUUGAACAUUGAUACAUGGAAUUUGAAAUCAGACUUGUAACAACAGAUAUAUAGAUAUAGAACAUGCAUAUAAUCUCCAUUUCGAGCUCCCUCUCCAACUGGCUUCUGCUUCCGUCGUACUCUUUCUGGGAUUCGGAGUCCGUAUUUGCUCGGCCGGUCCUGCACAGCUCCCUCUCACUCCAAUUGUCACCCAACAAGACCAAUUGCUUAAUCAAGGCACAGAACAAGAAGAGGAUGAGAAGUUGAAACAAGAAUUUGAGAAUUGGAAAUCGAAAACGUAUGCAUUGACUGUGCCUCUAAGGGUUGUUUCUCUUCAGAAUUCAGUGCCUCAAUCUUGGGUUAAGGAUUUUAUGCGAAGUCAAGGAAAGAGAUUGAAGUUUCAGAUGAAUUUGUGUGCUAGCAUUGGUGGGAUCUUUAACAAUUUAUCUGUGCCCUUUAACAAAGUUAAGGGUAAGUCAGCUUCGUAUACGGCUGCUGAUUUGGUUAGUGUUGGUGAUUCAUGGCUCAGUUUUGCGAUUAAAAAGAGAUUGAUUGAGCCAAUAGCUGAAGCUGAAGAUCAAGAUUGGUUCAAAUGCUUAUGUCACAAAUGGAAGGUAACAUACUAACAUCUUUAUCUUUGACCCGAUAAUUUUUAUUGUCUUACAUUGAAAUUUGGUAAUGUAAUUUGUUCUCUAUUUGUGUUACCCUUUGUAGUCGUUUUAUUUAUUUGUUUAUUUGCUUUUAUUUGCACUAAUGAAAUCUCAGGUAUAUCUACGCAGGAAUGAUUCAGGAGAAAUUGAUCCUCGAGGUAAAAUAUGGGCGGCACCAUACAGGUGGGGCACAACGGUGAUAGCCCACAAGAAAAGUAAAUUUCGAAAGCAUAAUUUGGCUCCGAUUGAGGUAAUAAUUGUCUUUAAACUCAUUUAUUUUUAUAUCAAACAAAAUCAAGACUGCCUUUCUCUUCAAUAUUUUUUAUGAUAAUAUCUUUAGAAGCAUCUCAUUGACGGGUAACAAUGGUAUCCCUGAAAGAGUCUUUAAACUCAAUGAUAUUAUCUUCUACAAAUGGUUCAUUAAACUUUGUCGUUGUAGUGAAAUGUACACUCAGAGCAAUGAGAAGCUAUGCCACUGUAGCAUGUAGUGAUGGCACUUAAUAAGUGAGUUGCUAGGAUGUGAACUAGAAAAAUUAAAUAUUGUCUCCUUGGGUAUGCUAGCUCAUAAGUCAGGGUUAAUAUUAGAGCUUAAGUUACUAUAACCAUGAGACGCUAUUGACUGCCAAUUAAAAUAUCCAUUAAAUUGUCUAGGAAGUUAUGAAAGUGGAGGUAUCUUCCGAUUUCUAAGGCCAGAUAGUAGACAUCAUCCAGGAUCCUAGGAAAGUGCAGUUAACCUCCUGCUCGAUGCAAUUAAUAAAUUUGGUCAAUGCCACUGAAACCUGCAAACCGACGUCACAAUGCAAGAUGAGCACUUCAAAAUGGGACAGACGGUCAGUAGCACUAAAUUUUUCUUUCCCAAGAUUGAGCAAUUGGUCUAACAACUAACCCCUAUUGUAGGUUGAUCAUUAUUUUUCCAAUUAUGUUCAGUUUGACCCAAAAAGUUACAGAAUCUUGAGCUGAAUAUUGUCACUGAACACUGUCAAUGUCGUUUAGCAUACCCAACUAACUUGAGUUUGGUAAAACAAACACACUGUGUGUCUCAUCUCUCACAAUUCAAAUUAUCAUCUGUAAUGAUGGAGAAUUUUUCCGAUGUAUGAAGUAUGCUUUGAUACGUGUACCUUGGAGAAGAUAUCUCCAAAUAAAGAAUAUGGAGAGAAAACGGUUCAGUAGUUUAUUAUUCUGUAGGCAAUUCUUGUCUCAAAAAUGGUCAAAAUUUAAAUGAAUAAGGACAGGGGAUCUUCAUUCUUUUUUCCCUUUUUUAUACCAAGAUAUCUCUCAACCUUUAUAUAAUCCCCACUGGAUAUCUGCUUCUAAUAAUUAAAAUAAAAAUUUCACCCGCACAAAUAAAUACUGACCAAGCUCUAACAAUAAAAAGUAACAUCUUUACUCAAGUAAUUUACAGUUCCUCAUCAUCUUAGUGUGAGACUAUCAUUACGUUCCAAAAACAUAAUAAAACUGGUUUGAUCCUGUUUAUUGAUGUUUAAAUGUUGUUCAUUGUGACAUGUAGAAAUGAUGAGGCGAAGUUUAUUUGGUCAUCAAUUAGUAAGAUCUUGUUUGAAGUUGUUUUCUGAAAUGAACUGCCAAAUGGUAGUUUUUUUGGGCAUAUGAUGGCUCUUUUUUCCUCAUUUUCAACAUGUGCCUGCUUGGAAUGGGAUGGAUUAGGCUGCAGAGUUGUUAUAUAUUUUGAGAUGCUCUGGCCAUUGCACAAUUUGUUCACACUGGAAAUUAGAAUGAGAAAUUUGUUGAUGCUGUUUUGAGAGAUCUGCAUUCUAUGCACAAUAACAUGAUUAAUGAAAAUGGAUUGUAGGACUGGAAAGAUCUGUGGCAGCCUGAGCUCGCAGGAAGAAUUUCAAUGGUUAAUUCUCCCCGAGAGGUUAUUGGUUCAGUUUUGAAGUAUAUGGGAGCAUCAUACAAUUCAAGCGAUAUUGAUUCGCAAGUUGCGGGUGGGAAGAUUGCUGUUCAGCAGAAUCUGGCAUUACUGGCAAACCAGGUACUCUUAAAGAAAUGAUAUCUGAUCAUGCAUGUUAUUGCCUGACAACUGAUUUUGUUUGUAAAAGUCUGCUUCUUCAUACAUAUGAAUGCAUAUGUUAGUGUUCUCUUCUCCUUUUCAUACAUAUGAAUGCAUAUGUUGGUGUUGUCUUUUCCUUUUCAUACAUAUUAAUACAUAUAUUGGUGCUCUCUCCUGAGAUGGAUGCAAUAAAGGCUUUUGGUCCUAAAUUUAGCUGAAGAAAUGGCAAGGGAUGUGAGAUUCUGUCUCAUUAAAUUAACAAAAACCCAAAACAAUGAAAACCGAUAAUAAUGUGGUGGGGGUAAAUUGGCACCAUUUGGUUUGUUUCCUUAAUGUGAAUACACGAGCAAUAGGGACUAACAAAAUGAAGUGACAACAACAAGUCAGUGUCCUUUGAUGGAUGCAUUUUAGGCAGAAAUAGGUUUGUAAUUGACCAAUUUCAAAAAAUUUAAAUUAUGUGGUUAUUAGCUGUAAUGAAGGGGAUAGUAGGUGCAAUCAGGUGGAUCCAGGAAAGUUCAACAAAGUUCUGGUAUGGCAUAGUGAAAUUGGUUUGUGCAACUCAAGAGUCUUUCAGGUGAACGAUGAUACGUUUUGAUUUAUAAAUGUUAUAAAUCUACCGUCCAUAGUAUUCUAGUAGAGUCAUCUAUAAGUUCUAGUUAUUGAAAUUGUCUACUUUGUCCAGUUUGAGUUAAGGGCACAUGUAAUAGGAAAAAUAGUAUUCACAUCUUUUUGGUUACCUAACAUUUGAUCGAUCCUAUUAUGAGGGCUUCAAGAUGCCUGACAAUAUGUAGAAUGCCCAUGCUCCUCCCCAUUGUUUAUCUUAUACAAUAAUUUGUUUUAGAUGCUAAUAUAUUUGUCGAUACCGGUAACGAUAUUACAAUAUCUGCGUUUAUUGGGUUUUACAUAGGUUCGACUGUUUGACAGUACACACUAUCUGAAGGCAUUUGGAAUUGGAGAUGUAUGGGUUGCUGUUGGGUGGAGUAGUGAUGUUCUUCCUGCUGUCAAACGUAUGUCUAAUGUUGCAGUUGUUGUUCCCAAGUCUGGUGCUAGCUUAUGGGCCGAUCUUUGGGUAUACCCAUGCCUGCCAUUCUACUUCGAUAUUCACAUUGUUAUCUCCUUCAUUUUAGCGAUCAUAAACUUGAUAAUGUGACUAAUAAGUUCGUAUUCUCUAUAUAGGCAAUCCCUGCUGCCUCAAGACUUGAAACAAAAGAAAUUGGAGGGCGAGUCAGAGGUCCAUCUCCAUUAAUCCAUCAAUGGAUAGAAUUCUGCUUGCAAACAGCGAGAACAUUGCCUUUCAAGCAAGAGGUUAUCCCGGGCGCAUCUCCCUCUGCCCUUGAAAGUACUCUGGUUAAGUUGCCUGAAGAACUUCUGAUGGGUAAACCAAGUCUGGAUACUAACUUAAUUGCUGGAGUACCCCCGGCUGAAAUUCUGGCCAGAUGUGAGUUUUUGGAGCCAUUGCCUGAAGCUACAUUGUCAGAUUAUGAGUGGCUGGUUGCUAAUCUGCAAAAACCUGCCCCCGUCUUGAUGAAAAGGCUGCAACAUUACUUGUCAUCAUUAAUCCAAAGCUUUCUAGCAAAAGCUACAUUGAAAAGUUAAUGGCACUGCAUGCCAGUCAUUGUAAUGCUGUCAGGGCUAUUGGGUCAGGGCAAUUAGGUAAGAGCAUAACUUCAUUAGGAAAAGAGGCUUCAGCUACGUUAAAUAUUGCAGGAUGUACUGAGAUGGUUGAAGUUCUUGAGGUUUUACGAGAAACGAAAGAUGAGUGUUUGUUUGAACAAAGUUGUUGCCAUCUUGCAAGAUCACUGAGCGAAUGCCACCGAUUUCUUAAUCAUUGUAGCCUCCAUAGUUGAAGUUUCCUUAUUUGAAGCUGUUUAUGCGUACGCUUUUUCCCUGCUCAAGUACAGGAAAUUGAAGAAUUAACCAGAUGUGAUAUGCUGAAAGAGGGAAGUUUUCUUCCUUGAACGUGGCCUUGUGAUUUGUCUUGAAGGAAUAGGAUGAUCACUGGCAAGAACCCUAUCAAGGUAGAUUUUAUGGUGCUAACGUAUUAUUAAGCAUUUUGUUACAUCAGCAAUGAUGCUUCCAUAGCAUGAAAGUGUUUAAAUUUAACUGAAUGAUCUUGAUUAAUCAAUUAUGAGUUUUAAUCGAGUAAAAACUAAAUACAAUCAUCGUUAGCAAAUACUGAAAUUGGGUAAAUAUGAUCUUGAUAUUGAAGAAUCUGAAAACACAACCCACACAGGGAAUCACCCUUCGCGUGGGGAUGGAGAUGUUUACUGCAGCGAUAUUGAAUAUGUCCACUGCUCUUUGGGUUAUGGUGCGACUUGCCCUGAAACAAUGGAAAAGAUUAACAUACCCUGCAAUGAAUGAAAGCGGCUGGACUAAUUCUGAUUACCUAAUUGACUCAGGAUCGGGUGGCAAUAAUGACAGUUUAUUAACAAUGCACAGUUCCGAGUACUUUUCCAGGAUCAGAUAUUACGUGGUCUAAUGUUGAUAAUAAUAGAUUAUCAAAUGAGAGAUGCUGAGAGAUGCUGGUCUACCUUUGCAAGCCCCCAGAUUUAAGAAUCUUUUGAUGAUAAUUUACCACCUGUACCUGUGCCGGAAGAUUCACCUAGCACUGAAAAAGAUGAUAAUUUAAUUGAUAUGGAUAGUUUUCAUAACACUUUUAAAUCAUCU